AGAGUACCGUGAGGGAAAGGUGAAAAGAACCCUGAGCAAGGGAGUGAAACAGAAUUUGAAACCGUGUGCUUACAAACGGUAGGAGCACAUUAUGUGUGACUGCGUGGAUUUUGGUUAAUCAUCCUGCGAGUUAUGGCUGGUGGCAAGGUUAAUAGACGGAGCCGAAGGGAAACCAAGUCUUAAUAGGGCGUCAAGUCGCCAGUCAUAGACGCGAAACCUAGUGAUCUAGGCCUGUCCAGGCUGAAGCUGAGGUAAGACUCAGUGGAGGGCCGAACUCACCGCCGUUGAAAAGUUGGGAGAUGAGAUAGGUCUAGGGGUGAAAAGCCAAUCGAACUAGGAGAUAGCUCGUUCUCUCCGAAAUGCAUUUAGGUGCAGCCUUGAACUGAGAUAUGUGGGGGUAGAGCUCUGUAUGAUCUAGGGGGCGUACUGCUUACCGAAAUCAAGCAAACUGCGAAUACCAUAUAUCAUGUUCAGGAGUGAGUCCGUGGAUGACAAGGUCCUCGGACGAGAGGGGAACAGCCCAGACCGCCAGCUAAGGUCCCUAAUUAUGUCUAAGUGGGAAAGGAGGUGGACAUUCAUAGACAACCAGGAGGUUGGCUUAGAAGCAGCCAUGCCUUGAAAGAGUGCGUAAUAGCUCACUGGUCGAGAGUGCCUGCGCCGAAGAUGUAACGGGGCUAAGACAUAAACCGAAGCUGCGGAAGAUACACUGUAUCUUGGUAGGAGAGCGUUCUGUAGGCCGUCGAAGGGAUGCCGCAAGGCCGUCCUGGAGGUAUCAGAAGCGAGAAUGCAGGAAUGAGUAGCGAGAAGGCGGGCGAGAAUCCCGCCGGCCGGAAGUCCAAGGUUUCCAGGGGAAGGCUUGUCCGCCCUGGGGAAGUCGGGACCUAAGCAUAAGCAAAAUUGUGAUGGCGAAUGGAAAACAGGUUAAUAUUCCUGUACCGCUGUUAUCGCUUGAGAGACGGAGUGACGCAGGAAGGUAUGCGAGAAGGCUGACGGUUUAGCCUUUCUAAGGGCCCAGCGUGGGCGUGCAGGCAAAUCCGCACGCCUAAACGUGAGACCUGACGGGGAAGUGCAUUUGCAUAAGUCGCAGAUCCUACACUGCCAAGAAAAACUUCUAUCGAUGAGAAGCAGCGCCCGUACUGUAAACCGACACAGGUGGACAGAGUGAGAAACUUAAGGCCGACAGGAUAACUCUAGCUAAGGAACUCUGCAAAAUAGCCCCGUAACUUCGGGAGAAGGGGUGCCUGACAUACCUGAAGGAGAGAAGCGCUCCCAGGGGAAACAGGCCGCAGUGAAGAGUCUCAAGCAACUGUUUACCAAAAACACAGGUCUAUGCUAAGCUGAAAGGCGACGUAUAUGGGCUGACACCUGCCCAGUGCCGGAAGGUUAAGAGGAGGAGUGAGAGCUCCGAUUUGAAGCCCCGGUGAACGGCGGCCGUAACUAUAACGGUCCUAAGGUAGCGAAAUUCCUUGUCGGGUAAGUUCCGACCUGCACGAAUGGUGAAAUGAUUUGAGAGCUGUCUUGGCUGGAGACCUGGUGAAGUUGUAAUGCCGGUGAAGAUACCGGCUACCUGCAGUAGGACGGAAAGACCCCGUGGAGCUUUACUGUAGCUUGGCAUUGGGUUCUGGCAAUGUGUGUAUAGGAUAGUUGGGAGACUAUGAUGUGAUGGCGUCAGCCAUUGCUGAGUCGCUGUUGGAAUACCAACCAUAUGCUGUCGGAAUUCUAAUCUGGCAACGGAGACAGUGCUAGGUGGGCAGUUUGACUGGGGCGGUCGCCUCCCAAAGAGUAACGGAGGCGUUCAA
rnacentral:rRNA from 1 species